rnacentral:rRNA from 1 species
AUCGAACGCUGGCGGCAGGCCUAACACAUGCAAGUCGAGCGGAUGAAGAGAGCUUGCUCUCUGAUUCAGCGGCGGACGGGUGAGUAAUGCCUAGGAAUCUGCCUGGUAGUGGGGGACAACGUUUCGAAAGGAACGCUAAUACCGCAUACGUCCUACGGGAGGAAGGGGGGGAUCUUCGGGCCUCACGCUAUCAGAUGAGCCUAGGUACGAUUAGCUAGUUGGUGAGGUAAAGGCUCACCAAGGCGACGAUCGUUAACUGGUCUGAGAGGAUGAUCAGUCACACUGGAACGGAGACACGGCCAAGACACCUACGGGAGGCAGCGGUGGGGAAUAUUGGACAAUGGGCGAAAGCCUGAUCCAGCCAGGCCGGGUGUGUGAAGAAGGUCUUCGGAUUGUAAAGCACUUUAAGUUGGGAGGAAGGGCAGUAAGUUAAUACCUUACUGUUUUGACGCUACCGACAGAAUAAGCACCGGCUAACUUCGUGCCAGCAGCCGCCGUAACAC